rnacentral:rRNA from 1 species
UGGGGAAUUUUGGACAAUGGGCGCAAGCCUGAUCCAGCCAUUCCGCGUGCAGGAUGAAGGCCCUCGGGUUGUAAACUGCUUUUGUACGGAACGAAAAGGCGCCGGUUAAUACCUGGCGCUGAUGACGGUACCGUAAGAAUAAGCACCGGCUAACUACGUGCCAGCAGCCGCGGUAAUACGUAGGGUGCAAGCGUUAAUCGGAAUUACUGGGCGUAAAGCGUGCGCAGGCGGUGAUGUAAGACAGGUGUGAAAUCCCCGGGCUUAACCUGGGAACUGCAUUUGUGACUGCAUCGCUGGAGUGCGGCAGAGGGGGAUGGAAUUCCGCGUGUAGCAGUGAAAUGCGUAGAUAUGCGGAGGAACACCGAUGGCGAAGGCAAUCCCCUGGGCCUGCACUGACGCUCAUGCACGAAAGCGUGGGGAGCAAACA